CUGCUCACUUCGGCAGUACAUAUACUAAAAUUGGAAGGAUACAGAGAAGAUGAGCAUUGCCCCUUAACAAAAUUGAGACUGGCUAGGGAUAUAGGCACUGUUCUG
ensembl:snRNA U6 U6 spliceosomal RNA